rnacentral:rRNA from 2 species
UAGGGAAUCUUCGGCAAUGGACGAAAGUCUGACCGAGCAACGCCGCGUGAGUGAAGAAGGUUUUCGGAUCGUAAAACUCUGUUGUUAGAGAAGAACAAGGACGUUAGUAACUGAACGUCCCCUGACGGUAUCUAACCAGAAAGCCACGGCUAACUACGUGCCAGCAGCCGCGGUAAUACGUAGGUGGCAAGCGUUGUCCGGAUUUAUUGGGCGUAAAGCGAGCGCAGGCGGUUUCUUAAGUCUGAUGUGAAAGCCCCCGGCUCAACCGGGGAGGGUCAUUGGAAACUGGGAGACUUGAGUGCAGAAGAGGAGAGUGGAAUUCCAUGUGUAGCGGUGAAAUGCGUAGAUAUAUGGAGGAACACCGGUGGCGAAGGCGGCUCUCUGGUCUGUAACUGACGCUGAGGCUCGAAAGCGUGGGGAGCAAACAGG